GUCUAUAGCCAUGCCACCCUGAACAAGUCCAAUAUCUGAUCUCGGAAGCUAAGCAGAGUCAGAUCUGGCUGGUUAGUACUUGGAUAGGAGACCACCUAGGAAGACCAAGUGCUGUAGUCA
rnacentral:rRNA from 1 species